UUAAGUGACGAUAGCCUAGGAGAUACACCUGUACCCAUGCCGAACACAGAAGUUAAGCCCUA
rfam:Streptococcus infantis SK970 ctg1129914002307, whole genome shotgun sequence.